UACGAAGGGGGCUAGCGUUGUUCGGAUUUACUGGGCGUAAAGCGCACGUAGGCGGAUCGUUAAGUCGGGGGUGAAAUCCUGGAGCUCAACUCCAGAACUGCCUUCGAUACUGGCGAUCUCGAGUCCGGAAGAGGUGAGUGGAACUCCUAGUGUAGAGGUGGAAUUCGUAGAUAUUGGGAAGAACACCGGUGGCGAAGGCGGCGACCUGGUCCGAUACUGACGCUGAGGCGCGAAAGCGUGGGGAGCAAACAGG
rnacentral:rRNA from 1 species